GGCUUCCAGUUUACAGCUUCACAAACAUACCUCGAUUUAAGAUAUAGGACAUAUAAAUACCAAUCCCUCUCCCCCACAAAAACCCUCCCCCAUGCCCCCUAGAAAAUAGUCCCUACAUAGGAGAGGCUAUCUUCCUCCCCCGUCCAACAUGCCACCCCGCAACCACGACCUCCCCUCCGAUGAAGACGACAACGACGCCCUCUUCGCCGCCCUCGAAAGAGAAGAAGAUAGCCCCUCUUACAAAGCCCAACGCAUCGAACAGCUGCAAUCAGAACUAGCGGCCCGCGCCCAACAGCAACAAGAACAACAUCAAAAGAACAGCAGCAACAGCGACGAACUCGACGAUAAUAAUAACGCCACAACUUUCCAAAACACCCUCGUCCCCACACUCCCAUCCGACCAAUCCCUCCUCGACUUCACAACCCGCCACCCGCGCUGCGUCAUCCACUUCUCCCACCCGGACUUUGCGCGCUGCGCUGUGAUGGACAGACACAUCCACGCCCUCGCAGGCCUCCAUCACGAGACCCGCUUCGCAACCGUGGAUGUUCGCAGGAUACCAUUUGUCGUGGAGAAGCUAAAGGUGAAGGUGCUGCCGUGCGUGAUUGGGUUUGUGGACGGGGUGGGCGUGGAGAGGAUUGUGGGGUUUGAGGGGCUGGGGUACGGCGGGCGGCACGACGCUGAUGAGGAGUUUC
rnacentral:sRNA from 1 species